AUGAAUGGGAUCGGUGGGGAAGGUACAGCAUCAAUCCUGAGCAGGAGCUGUGGGGUGGAAGCAUCAAAAAUAACUUUUGUGCAGCUCGGUGGGAGAUCCAGACUUUGGCCCAGCAGUGGGAAGUCACGCAGCGAGCUCGUCAUCCCAAAAAUGUCUGUAAGGGCGGCCAGGUGCUCAGUCCCUGUGGAUCCUUCUGCUGGAGGUGAACAGAACAUUGAGGGAAUGGCUUCCCACUGCCAGAGGGCAGGGCUGGAUGGGAUAUUGGGCAGGAAAUUGUUCCCUGGGAAGAUGGGCAGUCCCUGGCACAGGGUGCCCAGAGGAGCCGUGGCUGCCCCUGGAUCCCUGGAAGUGUCCAAGGCCAGGCUGGAUGGGGCUUGGAGCACCGUGGGACAGUGGGAGGUGUCCCUGCCAUGGCAGGGGGUGAAGGGGAUGGGUUAUAAAGCUCCUGCUCAUCCCAAGGACUCCAUGGUUUCGGUGAUGGCCAGGAGGGAUCCGGCACUAGAGGGCAGCAGCCCCGCGCCGGGCUGGGAUCGGGGACAGCGGGACGGGACAGGGGGGUCCCGUGUCCCCUUCACACCAGGCUCCUCCACCCGCUGGGGUGACCCCGGCUCAGCGCCCCCACGGGCACAAUCCGAGGGCGUUUCCUCACCCGCCUGGCCAAGCCCUGAGGACCAGGAGGAGUGGAUCCCACAGGAGCUGAACCCCUCCCGACCCUGCGGGAGGUCGGCCUUAGGGGCUUGGGCCGAGGUUAGGGCUGGGAGGAUUGGUCCAGGAUGGUCCAGGAACAUCCUCUCCCUAAGCAGAGAUGCUCAGCCCUGCCCUGGAUCCUGCAAAAUCCCUCCUAGCUGGGGGUUUUGGGGUGCUCCACAGCCAGCCUGCCCUCAUGGGAUGCUGUCCCCAUCGGCUCUGCUCUGGGACAAGGGGACAUUGACAACAGAACCCCAACCCGCCCCACUUCCAGCCCUGUGGUCCCUCCCCUGCUGGGGACAUCCCCGGGGUGACAGGGAACAAGGGAUGGGGGGACAGAGCCCCCUGCAAACACACCCCCACUUCCAAAACCUGCUUUUAUUUACAUUUCAAGUCAAAUCACAUGCAAACUCUUGGUUGGUUGUUGUUUUUUUUUUUCUUUCCUGGCUUUUCCUUAAGAAGAGUGUGAUUAGCAAAAAAGACGCAUUAUUAGAAUUUUCAAAUAGCAAUUAA
rnacentral:lncRNA from 1 species